CCUACGGGUGGCAGCAGUGAGGAAUAUUGGUCAAUGGACGAGAGUCUGAACCAGUCAAGUAGCGUGAAGGAUGACUGCCCUAUGGGUUGUAAACUUCUUUUAUAUGGGAAUAAAAUGUUCCACGUGUGGGACUUUGUAUGUACCAUAUGAAUAAGGAUCGGCUAACUCCGUGCCAGCAGCCGCGGUAAUACGGAGGAUCCGAGCGUUAUCCGGAUUUAUUGGGUUUAAGGGGAGCGUAGGUGGAUUGAUAAGUCAGUUGUGAAAGUUUGCGGCUCAACCGUAAAAUUGCAGUUGAAACUGGCAGUCUUGAGUACAGUAGAGGUGGGCGGAAUUCGUGGUGUAGCGGUGGAAUGCUUAGAUAUCACGAAGAACUCCGAUUGCGAAGGCAGCUCACUGGACUGCAACUGACACUGAGGCUCGAAAGUGUGGGUAUCAAACAGGAUUAGAUACCCGGGUAGUC
rnacentral:rRNA from 1 species